GAAUGGUUGGACAAGAAAUAAUCUGUCUUAAAUUAAUAUAUUGAAUUUAACUUUUAAGUGAAAAGGCUUAAAUAAUCUGAAGGGACGAUAAGACCCUAUAAAACUUUAUAUUUAUAAGGUAGUAAUUAGUUUUAUUUAAUGAUAUUAUUUUGGAGUAUUUGGUUGGGGUGACAAGGAUAAAAUAUACAAUAAUUGUCUUUUUUUUUUACAGUUAUAUUUGGUUUAAUGAUCCUAAAAGGGAUUUAAGAUUAAGUUACUUUAGGGAUAACAGCGUAAUUUUCUUUAAGAGUUCUUAUCGACAAGAAAGUUUGCGACCUCGAUGUUGAAUUAAAAGUUCUUUAUAAAGUAAAGAUUAUAAUAGAAGGUCUGUUCGACCUUUAAAAUUUUACAUGAUUUGAGUUCAGACCGGUGUGAGCCAGGUUGG
rnacentral:rRNA from 1 species